ensembl:lncRNA
CUGUCUCUGAAGUUACAUGUGCUCAAGCUCACCUUUUUGACUCUCAGAAGCUGAAACAUCAGUCUGCAUACUGAUACGCUUUGUGAAAACUAAACUAGGAACACCUGCAGAGCCCCCUGGUGAGCCCCAGUGGAGGGGCUCUGAACUGAAGAGGAACACAUCUAAUGAUGCCCUGAAGUUUAGUCUGAGUAUCUCCAAAUGGAGCAUAGCUGGAAAAACAAAUCAUCUGGGGAAUGCAUUGUCUGGCUGCACAGGCCACAGCUCCAAACAGGAUGUAGUGAAGCUGCAUGGGAAACUGAUCCAGCUGUGCUACAGGAUGGAGAAGGUUCAAGUGUGUCAGCUCCUGGUCUGAAUGUGGGAACAGCAGAAACACGCUGUGUAGGUGGCUUACACUGUGUAGCCAGCGAACGUGCCUGCAGAUACAUGGGCAAUACCAGCACAAAGGCUACUUGCUUACCAGCCCACGCACAAAUCUGUUCCACGCUCCGCACGGGAAGAGGCAGCAGCAUCGCGGAUGAGCGAAGGCUGCAGGGUGCUGAUAUUUGGGUGAAAAUCCACACCCCACUGUGUUAUUCAUCC